AGUUGAUCCUGGCUCAGGAUGAACGCUGGCGGUGUGCCUAAGGCAUGCAAGUCGAACGAGAAACUCCGCUUGCGGAGUGGAAAGUGGCAGACGGGUGAGUAACACGUAGGAACCUACCUUUGAGCGGGGAAUAGCUCAGCGAAAGCUGAGGUAAUACCCCAUGGUCCUGAUUUCCGAGAGGUCUUCAGGUAAAGAUUUAUCACUCAGAGAGGGGCCUGCGUCCUAUCAGGUAGUUGGUGGGGUAAUAGCCUACCAAGCCGAUGACGGGUAGCCGGUGUGAGAGCACGACCGGCCACAAGGUUACUGAGACACGGAGCCUACACCUACGGGUGGCAGCAACCAGGAAUAUUGCGCAAUGGGCGAAAGCCUGACGCAGCGACACCGCGUGUGGGAUGAAGCUCCUCGGAGUGUAAACCACUGUGGCGAGGGAAGAAGUUCUGACUGUACCUCGCUAGAAAGCACCAGCUAACUACGUGCCAGAAGCUUCGGUAAUACGUAGGGUGCAAGCGUUAUCCGGAUUUACUGGGCGUAAAGGGUCCGUA
rnacentral:rRNA from 1 species